rnacentral:rRNA from 1 species
UUGGCGGGGGUGCACUACAAGGGGUGGAUGCUGCGGUUUAAUUGGAUGCAACGCCAGAUAUUUUACCAAGGCUGACAGCCAAAUGAUGGUCAAAUUAAAGAUUUUACCUGAUACGCUGAGAGCUACUGUAUGGCCAUCGUCAGCUCGUACUGUGAAGCAUCCUGUUAACUCAGGUAACGGGCGAGACCCAUGCUAAUAGUUGCAAUCAUUUUUCUUAGGAAAAAUGAGCACUCUAUUAGGACUGCAUUGGUAACAAUGAGGAAGGAAUGGGCGAAGGUAGGUCUGUAUAGUGCGAAUGUCUUGGGCAACACGCGGCAUACAAUGGUUAAGCCAAUGAGUAGCUAACCCGAAAGGGGGUGCUAAUCCCAAAAACUUAACCCUAGUUCAGAUUGAGGGUUGCAACUCACCCUCAUGAAGAUGGAAUCCCCAGUAAUCGUGUGUCAUUAUCGCACGAUGAAUAUGUCCCUGCGCCUUACACACACUGCCCAUCAAGCCAAUCGAGUGGAGUGUGGAUGAAUUUUGAUCUUUUGAAUAGAAGAAAUUUUGUUCAAAAGGUUAAAAUAAUUCUAUAUUUCGCGAGAUAGACUAAGUUGUAACAAGGUGUCCGUAGGGGAACCUGCGGACG